rnacentral:rRNA from 1 species
AGAGUUUGAUCAUGGCUCAGGAUGAACGCUGGCGGCGUGCCUAACACAUGCAAGUCGAGCGAUUUACUUCGGUAAAGAGCGGCGGACGGGUGAGUAACGCGUGGGUAACCUGCCCUGUACACACGGAUAACAUACCGAAAGGUAUGCUAAUACGAGAUAAUAUGCUUUUAUCGCAUGGUAGAAGUAUCAAAGCUUUUGCGGUACAGGAUGGACCCGCGUCUGAUUAGCUAGUUGGUGAGGUAACGGCUUACCAAGGCGACGAUCAGUAGCCGACCUGAGAGGGUGAUCGGCCACAUUGGAACUGAGACACGGUCCAAACUCCUACGGGAGGCAGCAGUGGGGAAUAUUGCACAAUGGGCGAAAGCCUGAUGCAGCAACGCCGCGUGAGCGAUGAAGGCCUUCGGGUCGUAAAGCUCUGUCCUCAAGGAAGAUAAUGACGGUACUUGAGGAGGAAGCCCCGG